rnacentral:snRNA from 1 species
GUGCUUUGGCAGCACAUACACUAAAAUUGGAACGAUACAGAGAAGAUUAGCAUAGCCUCUGCACAUGUUUUAUGUAUGUUUUACUUUUCAGUUUUUU